UGGCUGUGAUGACUCUUAGGACACCUUUGAUAUAAACUUGAAACCAAAUUAAAGUAAAGCCUGAGCUGC